rnacentral:rRNA from 1 species
UACGUAGGCAGCGAACGUUGUUCGGAAUUACUGGGCGUAAAGAGUGUGUAGGCGGUGCUCUAAGUUCGGUGUGAAAUCUCCUGCUUAACUGGGAGGGUGCGCCGGAAACUGGAGUGCUCGAACGUGGGAGAGGAAAGCGGAAUUCCUGGUGUAGCGGUGAAAUGCGUAGAUAUCAGGAGGAACACCUGCGGUGUAGACGGCUUUCUGGACCAUUGUUGACGCUGAGACACGAAAGCGUGGGUAGCAAACAGG